UACGUAGGGUGCAAGCGUUGUCCGGAAUUAUUGGGCGUAAAGAGCUCGUAGGCGGUCUGUCGCGUCGGCUGUGAAAACCCGAGGCUCAACCUCGGGCCUGCAGUCGAUACGGGCAGACUAGAGUGUGGUAGGGGGAGACUGGAAUUCCUGGUGUAGCGGUGAAAAUGCGCAGAUAUCAGGAGGAACACCGGCGGCGAAGGCGGGUCUCUGGGCCAUAACUGACGCUGAGGAGCGAAAGCGUGGGGGAGCGAACAGG
rnacentral:rRNA from 1 species